rnacentral:rRNA from 1 species
UACGUAGGGUGCGAGCGUUGUCCGGAAUUAUUGGGCGUAAAGAGCUCGUAGGUGGUUUGUUACGUCUGCUGUGAAAACCUAGGGCUUAACCCUGGGCUUGCAGUGGAUACGGGCAGACUAGAGGUAGGUAGGGGAGAAUGGAAUUCCUGGUGUAGCGGUGAAAUGCGCAGAUAUCAGGAGGAACACCAAUAGCGAAGGCAGCUCGCUGGGACGUUACUGACACUAAGGCGCGAAAGCGUGGGGAGCGAACAGG